UACGAAGGGGGCUAGCGUUGCUCGGAAUCACUGGGCGUAAAGGGUGCGUAGGCGGGUCUUUAAGUCAGGGGUGAAAUCCUGGAGCUCAACUCCAGAACUGCCUUUGAUACUGAGGAUCUUGAGUCCGGGAGAGGUGAGUGGAACUGCCGAGUGUAGAGGUGAAAUUCGUAGAUAUUCGCAAGAACACCAAUGGCGAAGGCAGCUCGCUGGGACGGUACUGACGCUGAGACGCGAAAGCGUGGGGAGCAACAGG
rnacentral:rRNA from 1 species